rnacentral:rRNA from 1 species
GUGUCAGCAGCCGCGGUAAUACGUAGGGUGCGAGCGUUAAUCGGAAUUACUGGGCGUAAAGUGUGCGCAGGUGGCUGAGCAAGUCGAGUGUGAAAUCCCCGGGCUUAACUUGGGAAUUGCGCUCGAAACUACUUGGCUCGAGUGUGGCAGAGGAAGGUGGAAUUCCAGGUGUAGCGGUGAAAUGCGUAGAGAUCUGGAGGAACACCGAUGGCGAAGGCAGCCUUCUGGGCCAACACUGACGCUCAUGCACGAAAGCGUGGGGAGCAAACAGGAUUAGAUACCCCUGUAGUCC